GGGAGCAACCAGGAUAAGAUCCCCUGUUAGUCCCCCCCUUAACCGAGGAGUGCUAAGUGUUGGAGGGUUUCCGCCCUUUUAGUGCGAAAGUUACCCCAUUAAGCAUUCCCCCUGGGGAGUCCGGCGGCAAGGUGAAAAUUCAAAGGAAUGGCCGGGGGCCCGCCCAAGCGGUGGAGCAUGUGGUUUAUUUGAAAGCAACGCGAAGAACCUUACCAGUUCUGGACAUCUUUUGACAACCCUAGAGAUAGGGUUUUUCUUUCGGGAGCAGAGUGCCAGGUGGUGCAUGGUUGUCGUCAGCUCGUGUCGUGGGAUGUUGGGUAAAUUCCCCAACCGAGCCCAACCCUUGAUUUAAGUUGCCACCAUUCAGUUGGGCAUUUUAAGGUGACUGCCGGGGCCAAACCGGAGGAAGGUGGGGAGGACGUCAAAUCACCAUGCCCCUUAUGACCUGGGCUACCCCCGGGCUCCAAUGGCCGGUCCAAAGAGCUCCAAGACCCGGAGGGGGAGUUAAUUUCAUAAAACCUUUUUCAGUUCGGUUUUUAGGCUCCAAUUGGCCUCCAGGAAGCUGGAAUCCUUGGUAACCGCGGAUCACCAGGCCCGGCC
rnacentral:rRNA from 1 species